rnacentral:rRNA from 1 species
UACGGAGGAUCCGAGCGUUAUCCGGAUUUAUUGGGUUUAAAGGGUGCGCAGGCGGGAGAUUAAGUCGGCGGUGAAAUUUUGCAGCUCAACUGUAAAAGUGCCUUCGAAACUGGUUUCCUUGAGUGUAGAUGAAGUAGGCGGAAUUUGUGGUGUAGCGGUGAAAUGCAUAGAUGUCACGAGGAACUCCGCUUGCGCAGGCAGCUUACUAAACUACUACUGACGCUCAGGCACGAAGGCGUGGGGAUCAAACAGGAUUAGAUACCCUGGUA